ACACCUGGGCUCUCCGGGUACC
rnacentral:miRNA from 1 species